rnacentral:piRNA from 1 species
UGUGUUCACUUUUUGUACUAU